AGUUUGAUCCUGGCUCAGGAUGAACGCUAGCGGCAGGCUUAACACAUGCAAGUCGAGGGGUAUAGUUCUUCGGAAUUAGAGACCGGCGCACGGGUGCGUAACGCGUAUGCAAUCUACCUUUUACAGAGGGAUAGCCCAGAGAAAUUUGGAUUAAUACCUCAUAGCAUAGCAGCUUCGCAUGAAGCCACUAUUAAAGUCACAACGGUAAAAGAUGAGCAUGCGUCCCAUUAGCUAGUUGGUAAGGUAACGGCUUACCAAGGCAACGAUGGGUAGGGGUCCUGAGAGGGAGAUCCCCCACACUGGUACUGAGACACGGACCAGACUCCUACGGGAGGCAGCAGUGAGGAAUAUUGGACAAUGGGCGCAAGCCUGAUCCAGCCAUGCCGCGUGCAGGAUGACGGUCCUAUGGAUUGUAAACUGCUUUUGCACAGGAAGAAACACUACCUCGUGAGGUAGCUUGACGGUACUGUGAGAAUAAGGAUCGGCUAACUCCGUGCCAGCAGCCGCGGUAAUACGGAGGAUCCAAGCGUUAUCCGGAAUCAUUGGGUUUAAAGGGUCCGUAGGCGGUUUAGUAAGUCAGUGGUGAAAGCCCAUCGCUCAACGGUGGAACGGCCAUUGAUACUGCUAGACUUGAAUUAUUAGGAAGUAACUAGAAUAUGUAGUGUAGCGGUGAAAUGCUUAGAGAUUACAUGGAAUACCAAUUGCGAAGGCAGGUUACUACUAAUGGAUUGACGCUGAUGGACGAAAGCGUGGGUAGCGAACAGGAUUAGAUACCCUGGUAGA
rnacentral:rRNA from 1 species